rnacentral:lncRNA from 1 species
UGCGAUUUUUGGGGUGAAUUUCGUCGCUUUUGGGGUUUUUUGUUUUCUUUGCGUUUCCUUUCGUUUUGCUGCUGCUGCGCCACGUGGUGAGGGCACUUCCGGUCGCGGCGCAGGCGUUUGAGCGUCACUUCCGGCGCGCGGCGGCGACAAUAGGCAUCACUUCCGGUUUUUCGGUUUUUUCCCCGCCCCCCGGGGGGCGCCGCAGCGCGGUUUUAUUGGAAGGGGGGCGGGGCUUAAAAUGGGGGCGGGGCCUCGGAACAUCUGUGGGCGGGGCCUGGGGGCGCUAUGGGGCAGCCCCACGGAUCUAUGGGAACGGGACUGCGAUCUAUGGGGCAGCCCCACGGAUCUAUGGGGCGCUGAGCCGGAUCUGUGGGGCAGCCCCACACAUCUAUGGGGCGCUGGUCUGGUUCUACGGGGUGCUGAUCCGGAUCUAUGGGGCAGCCCCACACAUCUAUGGGGGUCUGGUCUGGAUCUAUGGGGCGCUGAGCCGGAUCUGUGGGGCAGCCCCACAAAAUUAGUGUUACGCAUCUAUGGGGCAGCCCCACACAUCUAUGGGGCACUGAGCCAGAUCUAUGGGGCAGCCCCAAACAUCUACGGGGCACUGAGCCGGAUCUAUGGGGCAGCCCCACACAUCUAUGGGGCGCUGAUCUGGAUCUAUGGGGCAGCCCCACACAUCUAUGGGGUGCUGAUCUAG